rnacentral:rRNA from 1 species
GGCGGCAGGCCUAACACAUGCAAGUCGAGCGCCGUAGCAAUACGGAGCGGCAGACGGGAGAGCAACACGUGGGAACGUACCCUUUGGUUCGGAACAACCCAGGGAAACUUGGGCUAAUACCGGAUAAGCCCUUACGGGGAAAGAUUCAUCGCCGAAGGAUCGGCCCGCGUCUGAUUAGCUAGUUGGUGGGGUAAUGGCCCACCAAGGCGACGAUCAGUAGCUGGUCUGAGAGGAUGAUCAGCCUCACUGGGACUGAGACACGGCCCAGACUCCUACGGGAGGCAGCAGUGGGGAAUAUUGGACAAUGGGCGCAAGCCUGAUCCAGCCAUGCCGCGUGGGUGAUGAAGGCCCUAGGGUUGUAAAGCCCUUUCGGCGGGGAAGAUAAUGACGGUACCCGCAGAAGAAGCCCCGGCUAACUUCGUGCCAGCAGCCGCGGUAAUACGAAGGGGGCUAGCGUUGCUCGGAAUCACUGGGCGUAAAGCGCACGUAGGCGGAUUGUUAAGUCAGGGGUGAAAUCCUGGAGCUCAACUCCAGAACUGCCUUUGAUACUGGCGAUCUUGAUUCCGGGAGAGGUGAGUGGAACUG